AGAAAGAGGAAAGAAAACGAGAAAGAGAGACAAAGAGAGAAAAGAGAGAGAGAGAGAGAGAGAAAAUGGAAUUUCUCUAUUUCACAUGUCCUCACUUUCUUCAUUACAGAUUAAUAAACCUAUUGAAGGAUUGGGACGAACUCCUUUAAUGAUUGCCUCUGAAGUGGGCGCCGAUAGAAGAAUCAUCGACAUUUUGAUAGACGCAGGAAGCCAAAUCGGAGCGAAAGACUAUUGGUUGUACAGCUUUGCAUUGGGCUGUGUUUGGUGGUCGACCUCAUCCUGUGGAGAUCUUACUAUCUCGGGGCAGUGAGGUUAAUCCACGAGAUGAAGAUGGUCGCACACCGCUGCACUGGGCCUGUAAUUGGGGACACUUGCACACUGUCGGCAUGUUGUUGGGUCACAAUGGCAUCGAUGCCAAUGUUGUGGACAACAAUGGAGACACACCACUGCAUGAGGCAGUUCGGGGGCGAAAAUAUAAAGUGGUGUGUGCGAUGCUGAAGCAGGGUUCAGUUCAGUUCGACAUUCAAAACAAAAGGAAACGGACACCAUUGCUUGAAGCCGUUUCCCAGGGUCACCUCGGAAUGACACACAAGCUUAUAGCCCUGGGUGCAAACAUAAAUGCUGUUGAUGGUGAAGGUAACAGCUGUUUGCACCUGGCCGUGGAAAGAGAAGUGUUUGUUCCGAGGAUGCACCCUUGGAUUUACUAAACGAAUGCUGCACUUCCCUUAACCUGAAAAUAGAAGAAAGGCUCUCUGGUAUAGUGGUUGCGAGAUAUCUCGCCAGCCAGGGAGCGGACUUUCACCAUAAAACAACAAAAUAACACACCAUUGGACCUCAUUAAGGACCCAAAUUUGAGAAAAAAUUAGAAGCAUUUUUACCACCACAGUGUUUGUGGUGCAAAAAUAAAACGGCCACAAUAAAAUUUCUUCCAUGCGGGCAUUUUGUCACAUGUGAAACAUGUUCGAAAAUCUCACUUAAACGAUGUCUGAAGUGCGGGAAACCUGUAACGAGCAGAACUGGAGAUGAUACGAAAAAACUGGAGGAGAAGGAUCUCCUGAAAGUGGCACGGCAAUUGGGAAGCAAAUGGUGGCAAGUGGGUAUUUUCUUGGACAUUAAAACUUCCGAGCUGGACAUUAUCAAGCGUGACAAUAGUAAUGACAUUGUAGAACAGAGCUAUCAGAUGAUGUACAAAUGGUUCACAAGUUGUGAACCAAAGAAACGUACAGCUGAAACAAUAAAUGCAGCUCUUGAAGAAGCUGAAUGUUAUAAUGCCCUUCAAUGUCUAUCGUUGGACAAAAACUGAAUCUCUGUGUAGUUGCUGAUCUUAUUAAGUCCAAGGUCUACCUUCGCCAACAGAUACCCAUCAUCAAAUGCCUUCCAUCCAGGACCAUCCUAUCUUUAUCCAAAUUAUUGACAAGCCAUAAGCACAUUAUCCAAUGUGUCCUUGUUUAAGGUGAUAAAUUGCGAAUCAAAGAGGAUUCAGCUACUAAUUGUAGCACGUCUAUAGACCACAGAAAAACUCCCUGAAUGAUUUGGAUUUCUUGCUAAAGAUUGAGGUUUGAAAUAAAGAUAAACUUUGAAAUGUC